rnacentral:rRNA from 1 species
UUGGAGGGCAAGUCUGGUGCCAGCAGCCGCGGUAAUUCCAGCUCCAAUAGCGUAUAUUAAAGUUGUUGCAGUUAAAAAGCUCGUAGUUGAAUUUCGGAAUUUUUUUAUCGGUUGAAUCAACAGGUUCGUACUGAUUUUAAGAAUUUCUACCUUCUGGAGAACUUUAAUGUCAUUUAUUUGAUGUUUUAGGAAACCAGGACUGUUACCUUGAAAAAAUUAGAGUGUUUAAAGCAGGCUUAUGUCUGAAUAUAUUAGCAUGGAAUAAUGAAAUAGGACGGCAUGGUUCUAUUUUGUUGGUUUCUAGGAUCACCGUAACGAUUAAUAGGGAUAGUUGGGGGCAUUAGUAUUCAAUUGUCAGAGGUGAAAUUCUUGGAUUUAUUGAAGACUAACUUCUGCGAAAGCAUUUGCCAAGGAUGUUUUCAUUAAUCAAGAACGAAAGUUAGGGGAUCGAAGACGAUCAGAUACCGUCGUAGUCUUAACCAUAAACUAUGCCGACUAGGAAUCGGACGAAGUUAAUUUUUUAAUGACUCAUUCGGCGCCUUACGGGAAAC